UUUUUUUUUUUUUUUUUUCAACCAACCCUAAGCCAGAAUGUACACCAUUUAUUGAGCUGAGUGAAUGGCUCAUCCCAAGCAGAUUGUUAUGUACAAUCAAUGAAGAAAAUGAUGUCAUUGAUGUCCAUCCUUCAUGUUGAUGUCAUUGUGUGAAGUAUUAUGAACAAAUAAUUGCUCUCCCUUUAGCGUUUCAUUUAUGAUCCAAACAGAAGAAAGGUGUGGAAUGCGAAAAAAAAAUUGAGUAAUAUUUGAAGAUAUAAAGAGCCAGAAUACGCAACAGGAAUAUUUAAAGAUGUGAACUUAUAAUUAAAAAAUACGAAUGUUAACCAUUUUAUCUGGGGGCUAAAAUGUUUUAUUUUUUUUAAAUGAGUUUCUAGGUGAAACCUAACAAAACCCAAGAGUUGUCUUAACUUUGAAAUGACAAACGCCCCCCCCCCCCCCCCCU